UCUUUGAUGACUUCCUUGAAGACUAACAACAUCUCUUCUGGAGCUCCAUCUUCUUCAAACAUCCCCAAACCUAUUGCCAGAUUUUCCUGUUUCAUGGUCUGAGCCUGUAUAGCCAAAACAUCCUCUACUUUGUCUCUGGCUGAUAAAGAAACGGAUAAGAAGCAACACGUGCUGAGACAGCUGGCAGCGAUAACUCAGUCAUAGACCAAUAUUUGAGGAAAAAACGAUGUUCCCGGCUGCAUGUGCGACGACAGAAUGAAGCUAAAUUCGAGUAGUUUCUUCCAAGCGACCUACACUCUGUCUAUUAAGGCCUUUGUUGGCACAGCUCUGGUGUCUUGAUAAGCAGCCUCCGCUUCAGUUUUCAAAGUCCAAUUAAUGCAUAUCGGAGAAACGCUCAUAUUAUCUGCGUAUAAGUUGUAGAACUAUAAUCAACGCACUAUUGUUUUUCAAAGCGAGUACUUUGAACUGCUUGCAUUAUUUAGGACACGUUCAUAAAUAAAGAUUAUCAUGUCGAGUACUCGGACGUGAUAGAUAAAAGAACGAUUCAAAAGCAGGAUCGAUAAAGAACAAUUUGCUUAUUGCAAAAAAUCCCUUGAUAUAAUAAUACUUGAAUAAUACUUGUUUCUCCUGUAUGUUAUGACGGAAUAAGGCAUAACGUGUGUAACAGAAUAUUUUUAACUAGUACUCUUCACUGAUUAGUAAAUUAUCUGCAGACACACUAUACAUGUGCUACCUUAUCGCGUUCAAGCGCUCUAAACUCGAUUACAACAAUCAGAUUAACUUAAUAACGCAAGGUCGUGGAAUUAUAUAUAGAAACUAAGCCAAUUUUCUUCGUAUUGUACAAUUUUAUGCAAGAAAAUAUGUAUUUUCUGUUGUUUCUCUAAAGAUAAACCUAUCAGUAUCAAAUUCCUUCUUAAUAAGUAGAUUAUGGAUAUUCAUAAAAAUUCAUAUUUUUAUAAAAAAAAAAAGAAUAGAAUCUACACAGAGAUUUGUAUCGUCUAACAAUAUAGCAAUAUUAACAUAUUAUUAUAUUAUA